GGGGGGGGGGUGAACUGGGUGGUAAACAGGUAGACGUAAGAGAGGGAAACUAGCCGAGGUGGUUUAUUAGAUUAUUUAUUAGUUAUCUAAGAGUCAGACAGAGGGACACAGAGAUCUGGUAGACAGAAGGACAGACAGACAGAGGGACAAUAACAGAGGUGGCAGGAAGGCAGGCAGGCUAUGCGCCGGCUCAAGUUCAUUUAAGUUCAUUCAGGUUGAUUUAUUUAGACAGGCUGGCAGACACCGUGUGAAGAGGUGAACUGGUUGAGGGGUAGAAGAUGGGAUCUUAGUUCGUGAGAGUCAUGGAAGUUGGGAAGUUAGCGAGAGUCAUGGGAGUUAGGAAGUUAGCGAGAGUCGUGCUCUUUAAUGGUGCAGGGGCAGGAGCAUCAGGAGCAGGAGCAAGAACAGGAGCAGGACAAUCAUAGCAUGCUUGAGCAUCUCUGCCUAAAGUGGUGUUUGAACACGCUGCUCUGCUUCAGAGGCCUCUAGACUCGCUCUCGACUCACUCUAGACGCUCUCGACACACCCUAGUACUGCUCUGUAAAGGACAUGGCUGCGUACUUUAAAGGUUACAGAGCAUUGGAGUACUGCUCUGUUAAGGACAUGGCUGCGUACUUUAAAGGUUACAGAGCAUUGGAGUACUGCUCUGUUAAGGACAUGGCUGCGUACUUUAAAGGUUACAGAGCAUUGGAGAACUGCUCUGUUAAGGACAUGAGUGCGUACUUGAAAGGUUGAUACCACUUUGGGCCGAGGCUCCGAGCGCCCUCCCUGUCAGUCGGUGUGCUUGACUGCGUGAAGAGGCUCGAUGAGCAGCAAUGGCACAAGACAAAUGUAAAGACUUAUUUCACUGGUUCGUGGUCACAUAAAAAUGCUGAAUGUUGUUUCAAAACGGGGCAGAAUUGUGUUCUAAGCUUGCAUUGUACACUGCAUGUGUGUGUUGAUAUGAAGGGAAUGAUCAUGUGGACAGUGUGUGUGUUUGUUUGUGUGUGUGUGUGUGUGUGUGUGUGUGUGUGUGUCUGGUGUGUGUGUGUGUGUGUGUGUGUGUUUUGUGUGUGUGUCUUGGGAAUCAAAUGCACCUCUGACGGUCUUUCAGGUUCUGUCUGCACAAAUGAUUGAGUAUGGGCCCUGCAUAACUAUGCUUUGCACCAUUAUUAUACUUUUAAAUUAUAAAACAAGUCAUUAUUUGUCUGUGAUUUUCAUUGUUAAAUAGGGUUUAUUGUAAAUGUCAAUCAUAAAAUACGUUCUGUUUGAUAAGCCGUCAGUUGUCUGUCUAAAAAGGGUUUACAUGUUUUCAGUAAGGUCUACAAUUUCACAUCUCUUUGGCCUGUAGCGUGACUGUGACCGUGACUGUGACUGACUGUGUGACAGCUGAAGGGUGUCCCAUGCGGGUGUGUUUAUGAAAGUUAGGAUGCAGUGGCUGAUCAGAGAUCAGUGCUAUGACCACUCACAGAGGGAUGUCUGCUGGGCAUGUCAGGUAUCUAUAUACACUGGCUGGAGAUUUUCCUCUGUUUUUAAAUUUUUUUGUUUUUGUUUUUUUCUGUUGCUGUGUCAGUGAGGAGCCAAAGUGCUGUUGGAGUUUCUCUGGAGUUGCCAUACACAGACAGAGAAUACACACUUAUUUGUUUCCUGGUGCUGUGUGUGGCGAGAGAGAGUAUAGCCCAAAGAAGCACAGUCCAGAUGAACUCCAACAGCACUUCGGCACCUCCCCGACAGACACACACACACACACACACACACAGACAGACAAACAGAAAGACAACACGCACGCAUGUGUGUCAUUUCACUGAGAACCGUACUGAAGAUCUCUGGCCUGCGUGGCUAUAAAGCACUCGCCGCUGUCUUAGAAUGGAGGCCCGGUAGACCAUUUCAGAAGCCAUGUGGACCACAGUGCCCCCAGUGGCCCAGAAGGACAUGGCACCUUCGUGAGCUGUGAGCUGUGUGGGUCCUGCAUGCGUCGCACCUGUGGACUAGUUCUGGACACCUGGAACUUACUGUGGUAGCCUGCUGCAGGACUAAUACAUGGGAAUAGUGCCCCUAAAACAUGGGAAUAGUGCCCCCUAAUAAACGGGAAUAGUGCCCCCUAAUAAACGGGAAUAGUGCCCCUAAAACAUGGGAAUAGUGCCCCCUAAUAAACGGGAAUAGUGCCCCUAAUAUAUGGGCUUAGUGCCGAUAACGCUGUUGUGCCCCCCUCCUCCCCAGACACACUCUCUCAGACUCUCGCUCUCUGUUGUGUUGCGUUGUGUUGUAUUCCCGACUGGAAUGCCGACUGGAAUUGUCUUUGUGUUUUAUGGGGACUGCUUAAAGUGAGUGCCUCUUCAGGUCAGCGCUAGUACAUGUAAAUAAACCAGGAACAUUUUGAAUGUCCAGUGGACGGAUGUAAUAAACGAAUGAAUUAA